rnacentral:lncRNA from 1 species
UUGAUCCUCAUGAUCAAUCUUAAUAAUAGUAGUAGUUAGAUAAAAUCAAUUCCAAAAUGCACUUGGAAAAUAGUAUUAUGGUGCUGCAACGCACAAUUCAUCCCAAAGUGCAUUCAAAUAUAUCAAUCAAAGUACUAACAGUCGUACAAAAAUUCCAAACCUAGACUAAACUAUCUAUGAACUCAUAGGUGACGUUUUCUUGUAGAUACACAGAGUGUCUCAAGAGGAGGUUAAGUUCCACAACCAAAUUGCUUAGACCAAAGUCCCUUACAUUAUCAAUUGGAGGCGAACAUAGAAAUUCUUAGAGUUGGAAUACAAUAACCUUUCACAAUAACUGAAGGAGAACAAAGAAACCCCAUAAAGAAACUUGUGCUUGCAAGUCCAAGGAGUGACCUCACAACUGACUCAUUAAAAUCGUAGACUUAAGUGCGUCCACCCAUUUUCUUACAGCAGAGGUCUCCGAAUCUUUCUUCGAUUUCAAUGUGAAGAUCGAUGUAUCAUGCUAAGAUUGUAGUGUGGCUAUUGCUGCUUGAUGUUGCUCUGCUCCUUCUUCUCCUUGAGCUGACGCGCUUCAUUGUAGUUUCUACUUCGCUUGGAAAUGUGGGGUAUGGAAAAUUGAGUUGGAUAGACUAGCCUCUAACCUGCUAUGCUUCCAUUACUGUCAUCUCCAAAUAUCUGAUUCACUACUACUCUUCUUUCGAUUGAAGUAGAAUCUGAAGACUCCUUGCAUUGAAGACGUUCCUGCACUAAUAACUUUGCUACGUUCCCACACUUAUGCCAUUGCUUUAUCCUGUAGUUUGAGAAAACAUUGAAGACUGCACCCAAAAAAGAAAGAAAGAAAGAAACUAGGGGAAAAAUUAUAAUUCGGCAGGUACAAAAUAGCAAGUAUGUAAGGAAGACAUAUAAACUGGACCAAUCUGCAUAUCAGCAGCUUAGCAAUCGAUCAUAGAUCAGUCUGCAGACGGUGAAUGGAUCUGCAGAUCAGUCUUGGACUAUCCUCGCAUGCCAACAGCAGACAAAAAAAAUGCUCCUAGACUAAACUUCUAACGGCAAGCAGCAAAUCCCCUCCAAAUGGACAAUCUAUACCAAGUCCAUAUAUUUUGCAAUCAGCACAUCUCUGAAAGUUAACCAUGCUCACGUCCAGUAGAUGUUUCAUUGACAUAUUUAUCUCGUGGUUGUGUAGCUGUUGUUU